rnacentral:rRNA from 1 species
UACGUAGGGGGCAAGCGUUGUCCGGAAUCAUUUGGGCGUAAAGAGCGUGUAGGCGGCCUGGUAAGUCCGCUGUGAAAGUCCAGGGCUCAACCCUGGAAUGCCGGUGGAAACUGUCAGGCUCGAGUCCGGAAGAGGCGAGUGGAAUCCUGGUGUAGCGGUGAAAUGCGCAGAUAUCAGGAGGAACACCAAUGGCGAAGGCAGCUCGCUGGGACGGUACUGACGCUGAGACGCGAAAGCGUGGGGAGCAAACAGG